rnacentral:rRNA from 1 species
AUGCAGCAGCAGCACGCCGGCGGCACCCCGGAUUGGUUUCUCGACACGGGCGCCACGUCGCACGUCGCUGGUAAGACGGACCUCCUCACCUCGUAUGGUUCUCCCUCAUUGCGUCAUUCCUCUGGCAUCUUAGUAGGCAACGGUUCUCGUCUCCCCAUUACAGCCGUAGGUUCUACCUCUCUUUCAAAUUUUGCACUAAAUGACGUACUUAUAUCUCCUACUAUCAUUAAAAACUUGAUUUCUGUACGUCGUUUCACUCAAGAUAAUUUUUGCUCUAUCACGUUUGAUCCUUUCGAUUUUUCCGUGAAGGACCUAGCCAUGGGGAAGCUAAUCAUGAGGUCCAAUAGCCAUGGGGACCUCUAUCCUUUCUUCAACAACUCUGACGUUCAAGCAAUGCUCUCCAUCUCCACCGAUGACAUAUGGCAUCUUCGUUUAGGGCAUGCUAGCAAUAAAUCGGUUUCCAUUCUAGCACGUGAUUUUCUUCCAAAUUGUAAUAAAGCUAUGCCUAGCACUUCCGUUUGCUCAUCAUGUAAACUUGGCAAGCAGCCUCGACUUCCUUUUUCCCAUUCCAUUACUAAAACAAGU